rnacentral:rRNA from 1 species
ACGGUAACAGGGACUUCGGUCCGCUGACGAGUGGCGCACGGGUGAGUAACGCGUGGGUUACCUGCCCAUAAGUGGGGAACAACUUGGAGAAAUCCAAGCUAAUACCGCAUAAUACCUUCGGGUUAAAGAGGGGGAUCUUCGGACCUCUCGCUUAUGGAUGGUCCCGCGUCUGAUUAGCUAGUUGGUAGGGUAAUGGCCUACCAAGGCAAUGAUCAGUAGCUGGUCUGAGAGGAUGAUCAGUCACACUGGAACUGAGACACGGUCCAGACUCCUACGGGAGGCAGCAGUGGGGAAUUUUGCACAAUGGGCGAAAGCCUGAUGCAGCGACGCCGCGUGCGGGAAGAAGGCCUUCGGGUUGUAAACCGCUUUCAACAGGGAAGAAGGAAUGAGAGCUAAUACCUCUCUGCCUUGACGGUACCUGUAGAAGAAGCACCGGCUAAUUUCGUGCCAGCAGCCGCGGUAAUACGAAAGGUGCAAGCGUUGUUCGGAUUUACUGGGCGUAAAGAGAUCGUAGGUGGCUUGUUAAGUCGGAUGUGAAAUCCCGGGGCUCAACCCCGGAACUGCAUCCGAUACUGGCAGGCUUGAGUUUGGGAGGGGUAAGCGGAAUUCCCGUGUGUAGCAGUGAAAUGCGUAGAUAUACGGAGGAACACCUGAGGCGAAGGCGGCUUACUGGACCAAUACUGACACUGAUGAUCGAAAGCGUGGGUAGCAAACAGGAUUAGAUACCCCUGGUAGUCCACGCCCUAAACGAUGUCAACUAGCCGGUUGCGGGGUAUCGACCCCUGCAGUGGCGCAGCUA